GCAGCUGGGUGAAGGAGGCUAUGUCUCUCUGCAGGUGAGGACUCCAUCAGCACCUUGGGCCUGAUCCUUGGCGUGGGGCUAACACUGCUGCUCGUGUCCAUCCUGGGCUACAGCCUGGCCAAGUGGUACCAGCGUGGGUACUGCUGGGAGGGGCCUAAUUUUGUCUUCAACUUGUACCAAAUCCGGAACCUGAAGGAGCUGGAGAUAGGUCCACCUUUCACCAUCAGUGGCCACAUCAGCAGCCCAGAUGGUGUCUACAUGAAGUUCUCCGACAGGCUAGUCUGAUGGGGGAGCAUCAGCCUCUGGAGUCCCA